GCGGUCGUGGCGGAACUGGUAGACGCGUAGCGUUGAGGUCGCUAUGAAAAUUUAUUUCGUGGAAGUUCAAGUCUUCUCGACCGCACCA
rnacentral:tRNA from 1 species